rnacentral:tRNA from 1 species
GCGUGGUCUAGCGGUUAGGAUUCCUGGCUUUCACCCAGGCGGCCCGGGUUCGACUCCCGGCGCGGGAG